CUUCCAUGAUACUUUAAAUAGCAAGCUGUCUGAGGACAGGGUAGAAUCUACAGUUAAAGAUGUUAUUAAAAAUUUACCUGUAUUUCUUAUUUUCAAAAUAUUACCAGUUCGGACAUUUAACAUUUGAAGGAUUUACAUUAACAUUGUGGAUUUAAAAUAUUGUUUGAAGAGGAUUUAUAUCAUUUGGACAUACUGAAUUCACUUUGGAUUUGUGAAUAAUUUGGAGUUAUAGCUCUUAGGAUUUAAGUUUGACCAGGACAGGAAUUGGACUUUUUUUGCAUAUUUAUAUUGGCCUUUGCAAUAACUCACAGUGCUGGAUAUAUUCCCACAUAUCGACAUAAAUCCAGCAAAGAUCAAUAGAAAACUUGUUGUCAAUGACAUUUUUAAAUAGAAAAAUGGAAAAUCCACAGGACAAAAUCGAAAUUGUACGGUUUGAUUGAGCCUGUUCAUGGACAGUAGUGGAAAUGCAACCUAUUGCCAUGAUGCAAGAAGAUAAAUCUGACAAUUAACGGUCACUGUGAAUCAUCGGAAGUACCGGUAUCAUCUUCAUCAUAAUUAAAAAGUGAAAAUAAAUUGAACCUUUUAGUACUUCAGUUCAAUUUGUCGAUCAUCUAUUAAUUAUGUUAACAGUUAUUCAACCAUUUUUACGAAUAACAACAACUUAAUUAUUGGAGGCAUUCACAUUGUUCUGACAUUAAAAGGAUGUGAAUUUUGUUCUACAAAGCAGCAUGAAUGCAUUUGCCGAGUUUGAUAGUGUAUACAGCUGGAACUUUUGCUUAGAAUAAUCUUGUGUUUCAGAUAAAUUAAAUUUAGACUACUGUAUUUAUCAUCAGAUUAAUUUCCACUUGCAUAACUGUGCCUAUUUUUAAUUCAUUAAAUGUUUUAAAUAUUUUAAAUAACUAAAUUUCAGGCAUUAAUAUGCGUCACUGUAUGAGCUUGUGCGUGAAAAUAUAUUUAACUAAAAUUGAAUAAAAAACAUAAUUUUAAAGA